rnacentral:rRNA from 1 species
AUUGAACGCUGGCGGCAGGCCUAACACAUGCAAGUCGAACGGUAACAGGAAGACGCUUGCUUCUUUGCUGACGAGUGGCGGACGGGUGAGUAAUGUCUGGGAAACUGCCUGAUGGAGGGGGAUAACUACUGGAAACGGUAGCUAAUACCGCAUAACGUCGCAAGACCAAAGAGGGGGACCUUCGGGCCUCUUGCCAUCGGAUGUGCCCAGAUGGGAUUAGCUAGUAGGUGGGGUAACGGCUCACCUAGGCGACGAUCCCUAGCUGGUCUGAGAGGAUGACCAGCCACACUGGAACUGAGACACGGUCCAGACUCCUACGGGAGGCAGCAGUGGGGAAUAUUGCACAAUGGGCGCAAGCCUGAUGCAGCCACGCCGCGUGUAUGAAGAAGGCCUUCGGGUUGUAAAGUACUUUCAGCGGGGAGGAAGGGAGUAAAGUUAAUACCUUUGCUCAUUGACGUUACCCGCAGAAGAAGCACCGGCUAACUCCGUG